NCCAGCAGCCAUAUCACCCUGUAGCCCAAGACUGGUUGCCCACUGACUAAGCAGGGCUGUACCUGGACGGGAGACCUCCAGAGAAAACUAGGUUGCUGCUGGAA
ensembl:rRNA 5S_rRNA 5S ribosomal RNA